rnacentral:tRNA from 1 species
UCGCGGCGCUGGCCGGGGUCGACCACAUCGUCCACGCCGGCGACGUCGGCGGGCGGCCGGUGUUCGACGCGCUCGCCGCGAUC